rnacentral:rRNA from 1 species
GACGAACCGUGCGACCGUUGUUCGGAAUCACUGGGCUUAAAGGGCGCGUAGGCGGGCUGACAAGUCUGGGGUGAAAUACCGCGGCUCAACCGUGGAACUGCCUUAGAUACUGUCGGCCUCGAGGGAGGUAGGGGCGUGCGGAACUGUAGGUGGAGCGGUGAAAUGCGUUGAUAUCUACAGGAACUCCGGUGGCGAAAGCGGCGCGCUGGACCUCUUCUGACGCUGAGGCGCGAAAGCUAGGGGAGCAAACGGG